CCGACCGAGAGAACUGUGGUUAAGGAACUCGGCAAAAUGCCCCCGUAACUUCGGGAGAAGGGGGACCAGUCCUGGUGACGACAUUUACUGUCUGAGCUGGGGUUGGUCGCAGAGACCAGAGAGAAGCGACUGUUUACUAAAAACACAGGUCCGUGCGAAGUCGUAAGACGAUGUAUACGGACUGACGCCUGCCCGGUGCUGGAAGGUUAAGAGGACCGGUCAGCCACUUCGGUGGCGAAGCUGAGAAUUUAAGCCCCAGUAAACGGCGGUGGUAACUAUAACCAUCCUAAGGUAGCGAAAUUCCUUGUCGGGUAAGUUCCGACCUGCACGAAUGGCGUAACGACUUCUCUGCUGUCUCAACCACAGACUCGGCGAAAUUGCAGUACGAGUAAAGAUGCUCGUUACGCGCGGCAGGACGAAAAGACCCCGGGACCUUCACUAUAGCUUGGUAUUGGUGUUCGGUUCGGUUUGUGUAGGAUAGGUGGGAGACUGUGAAACUCGCACGCCAGUGUGGGUGGAGUCAUUGUUGAAAUACCACUCUGACCGUAUUGGACAUCUAACCUCGGACCAUGAUCUGGUUCAGGGACAGUGCCUGGUGGGUAGUUUAACUGGGGCGGUUGCCUCCCAAAAAGUAACGGAGGCGCCCAAAGGUUCCCUCAGCCUGGUUGGCAAUCAGGUGUUGAGUGUAAGUGCACAAGGGAGCUUGACUGUGAGACGUACAUGUCGAGCAGGGACGAAAGUCGGGACUAGCGAUCCGGCACCGGCAAGUGGAAGCGGUGUCGCUCAACGGAUAAAAGGUACCCCGGGGAUAACAGGCUGAUCUUCCCCAAGAGUCCAUAUCGACGGGAUGGUUUGGCACCUCGAUGUCGGCUCGUCGCAUCCUGGGGCUGGAGUAGGUCCCAAGGGUUGGGCUGUUCGCCCAUUAAAGCGGCACGCGAGCUGGGUUUAGAACGUCGUGAGACAGUUCGGUCUCUAUCCGCCGCGCGCGUAAGAAACUUGAGGAAACCUGUCCCUAGUACGAGAGGACCGGGACGGACGAACCUCUGGUGUGCCAGUUGUUCCACCAGGAGCACCGCUGGUUAGCUACGUUCGGAAGGGAUAACCGCUGAAAGCAUCUAAGCGGGAAGCCUGUUCCAAGAUGAGGUUUCUCACCACCUAGCGUGGUUAAGGCCCCCCACAGACCAUGGGGUUGAUAGGCCAGAACUGUAAGCACAGCAAUGUGUUCAGGUGGCUGGUACUAAUCGGCCGAGGACUUACU
rnacentral:rRNA from 1 species